rnacentral:rRNA from 1 species
AUCAUGGCUCAGGAUGAACGCUAGGCACGAGGCUAACACAUGCAAGUCGAGGGGCAGCACGGGAGUAGCAAUACAACUGGUGGCGACCGGCGCGACGGGUGAGUAACGCGUAUGCAACCUACCUAUCAGGAGGGGAAUAACCCGGCGAAAGUCGGACUAAUACCGCAUAAACAGGGGCACCGCAUGGUGAUAUUUGUUAAAGAAAUUCGCUGAUAGACGGGCAUGCGUUCCAUUAGGUAGUUGGUGAGGUAACGGCUCACCAAGCCGACGAUGGAUAGGGGAACUGAGAGGUUGGUCCCCCACACUGGUACUGAGACACGGACCAGACUCCUACGGGAGGCAGCAGUGAGGAAUAUUGGUCAAUGGGCGAGAGCCUGAACCAGCCAAGUCGCGUGGAAAAGGAAGAAGGAUCUAUGGUUACGUAAACUUCUUUUGCAGGGGAAUAAAGUGCAGGACGUGUCCUGUUUUGUAUGUACCCUGAGAAUAAGGAUCGGCUAACUCCGUGCCAGCAGCGGC